GACGAACGCUGGCGGCGUGCCUAAUACAUGCAAGUAGAACGCACAGUUUAUACCGUAGCUUGCUACACCAUAGACUGUGAGUUGCGAACGGGUGAGUAACGCGUAGGUAACCUGCCUGGUAGCGGGGGAUAACUAUUGGAAACGAUAGCUAAUACCGCAUAAUAUUAAUUAUUGCAUGAUAAUUAAUUGAAAGGUGCAAUUGCACCACUACCAGAUGGACCUGCGUUGUAUUAGCUAGUAGGUGAGGUAACGGCUCACCUAGGCGACGAUACAUAGCCGACCUGAGAGGGUGAUCGGCCACACUGGGACUGAGACACGGCCCAGACUCCUACAGGAGGCAGCAGUAGGGAAUCUUCGGCAAUGGACGAAAGUCUGACCGAGCAACGCCGCGUGAGUGAAGAAGGUUUUCGGAUCGUAAAGCUCUGUUGUAAGAGAAGAACGGGUGUGAGAGUGGAAAGUUCACACUGUGACGGUAUCUUACCAGAAAGGGACGGCUAACUACGU
rnacentral:rRNA from 1 species